UCUGAGAUGAAGCCUGCCUUGCUCAGAGUAAACCCCGUCUCUCUGUCACCUCUGGAAGCAGCGAUGACAUCCAUUUCAUCGGAUGCACCUGCCUCCCUGCCUUGAAUCUAAGGAUGUGAAUCCUUGCAAGCAAGUGGAAGGAAGGUGGCCUGGAAGCUGCGCUGGCAUGGGGGUCACCUGUACAGUUCCCAUCCUGCCUCUUCCUGGUGGGGUGACCUCAGCAAGCUGCGUGGCCCUUCUGAACCCCUGAUUUCUAGUUUAUGCCCGGUGUGCGUAUGGUUUGCUCACUGUCGCCCCCAGGGACCGUGUGUUGUCCGCUGCCCCACCCUCAUCCCAGAAGAAUGCUUUCGUACGGUGAAUACUCGGCAGAAAUAUCUGUUCAUCACAGAGCACCUCUCAGGCAUUUAAAAGGACAUAAAACCGAGCCUUGCCCUCCAGUAAGAAGAAUGAUGAAAAGUUUUGCUCCGUGACCCUGGCCUCCAAGGGGCUCCCCUGUCCUCAGGUCAUUUCAGCCCAUGUGAGCCCCUCAGCCAUUCUCAGAGGUCAAGGGGACACAUAUUCUGUCUACUUGCAGCUAGAAAACCGGAGUUUGCAGAGUUAAAUGGCUUCCCCUAAUCUUACAGAUGUUGAAUGUUAGAGAUGACGCAAACCAGUUGGUUCUCCUUUGUUUUUAAUUUAAAGAAGACAUUAAAUAAAGAGAAAUUUAAGAUAAAAAUUGUCCAUAA
rnacentral:lncRNA from 1 species